rnacentral:lncRNA from 1 species
GGUUGAUACAAUAGAGGCCAUCUGGGAUGACGGUCGGAGAAAUUUGGACUGCCACUGUAAAAGGAGGGUAUAUUGGAUAGGGAUAGAAAUUUUGCCUUGCAACAGGCCACCUACGGGCCCCUCAAAGAGUUGUUGCAAGGGUUCUUAACGUGCAAAGAGCGUGGCACUCUCUUUACACGAGGCAUCGGAUUUAACGUCCCCCUUCUGACCGGACGUGACUGCGAACUUGAUACAUCCCGCACAGCCAAACGGACGCCCCACUUCGACAAGCGUUUUACUGCCGGUCGGGAGAAGACCAAGUGACCAUAUUUCUAUACCCCAG